GAUGAACGCUAGCGGGAGGCCUAACACAUGCAAGCCGAGCGGGAUUUGUUGGUUAGCUUGCUAACUAACAAUGAGAGCGGCGUACGGGUGCGUAGCACGUGUGCAACCUGCCUUUAUCUGGGGGAUAGCCUUUCGAAAGGAAGAUUAAUACCCCAUAACAUAUUGAUUGGCAUCAGUUAAUAUUGAAAGCUCCGGCGGAUAGAUAUGGGCACGCGUAAGAUUAGCUAGUUGGUGAGGUAACGGCUCACCAAGGCUGCGAUCUUUAGGGGGCCUGAGAGGGUGAUACCCCACACUGGUACUGAGACACGGACCAGACUCCUACGGGAGGCAGCAGUGAGGAAUAUUGGACAAUGGGUGAGAGCCUGAUCCAGCCAUCCCGCGUGAAGGACUAAGGACCUAUGGUUUGUAAACUUCUUUUAUACAGGGAUAAACCUACUCUCGUGAGGGUAGCUGAAGGUACUGUAUGAAUAAGCACCGGCUAACUCCGUG
rnacentral:rRNA from 1 species